rnacentral:rRNA from 1 species
ACCUUACNGGUCUUGACAUAUCUUGAAACACUAAGAGAUUAGUUUUUCCCUUCGGGGACAAGAAUACAGGUGGUGCAUGGUUGUCGUCAGCUCGUGUCGUGAGAUGUUGGGUUAAGUCCCGCAACGAGCGCAACCCUUAUUACUAGUUGCCAGCAUUAAGUUGGGCACUCUAGUGAGACUGCCGGUGACAAACCGGAGGAAGGUGGGGACGACGUCAAAUCAUCAUGCCCCUUAUGACCUGGGCUACACACGUGCUACAAUGGUCGGUACAACGUGCUGCGAACUCGCGAGGGUAAGCAAAUCACUUAAAACCGAUCUCAGUUCGGAUUGCAGGCUGCAACUCGCCUNCAUGAAGCUGGAAUCGCUAGUAAUCGNGGAUCAGCAUGCCACGGUGAAUACGUUCCCGGGCCUUGCACACACCGCCCGU